rnacentral:rRNA from 1 species
UACAUAGGGUGCGAGCGUUAAUCGGAAUUACUGGGCGUAAAGCGCGCGUAGGCGGCUUUGCAAGUCGGGUGUGAAAUCCCCAGGCUUAACCUGGGAACUGCAUUCGAGACUGCAUUGCUAGAGUAUGGGAGAGGGAAGUGGAAUUUCCGGUGUAGCUGUGAAAUGCGUAGAUAUCGGAAGGAACAUCAGUGGCGAAAGCGACUUCCUGGACCAAUACUGACGCUCAUGUGCGAAAGCGUGGGGAGCAAACAGG